rnacentral:rRNA from 1 species
UGAGGAAUUUUCCGCAAUGGGCGAAAGCCUGACGGAGCGACGCCGUGUGUGCGAUGAAGUCCUUCGGGACGUAAAGCACUGUCAGUGGGGAAGAUAUUGACGGUACCCACAGAGGAAGGCCCGGCUAACUACGUGCCAGCAGCCGCGGUAAUACGUAGGGGCCAAGCGUUGUCCGGAAUCAUUGGGCGUAAAGGGUGCGUAGGCGGCCCGGUAAGUCGGAUGUUAAAUCUACAGGCUCAACCUGUAGCCGCAUCUGAUACUGCCAGGCUAGAGAAUGGUAGAGGAAAGCGGAACUUCCGGUGUAGCGGUGAAAUGCGUAGAUAUCGGAAGGAACACCAGUGGCGAAGGCGGCUUUCUGGACCAUUUCUGACGCUGAGGCACGAAAGCUAGGGGAGCAAACGGG